ensembl:lncRNA
CUGGGCUGCAAAAAGCGCGGCUCCUGGCCCCACCAACUUCCAUUAACUCCUGAAGCCCCGCGCCGGGGUGCCCGGGUGCGGCAGCCGGCUCCCAGGGGUCAGGGCAGCACUCCGAACCUCUUCCUCUCCAAUCUGGCCCCAAAAUCGCCACAGGAGGAGGAUAUGAAAAAUUAGGAGAUCUGCUUGACAUCGGGAAAUCCGACACUUGUCUGCUCUAACAUCUCUAAGUACCAAAGCCGUACAGCGUAGUAAGAGGUGGAUUUUUUACGUGUAUAUAUAUAUUUUUUCCCCUAAAAGGUUGUUGCCACUUUUGCUGCUUUUCACGUCAGAGAAGUCGGAAGUAACCCUUAGCUGUAACAUGGAGAGUGAGCUUGAGAACUGCUGAAAAAUAAUCACCCAGAAAUUGUGGGCAGAGGUGCAAAAGGGUCGAGCAGGAGACAAUAAAAAUCUGUCUGGCAGUUUUCCUCUUGACCGAGGUAAAUACCAUAUUUGCUUUUUUGUUGUUGCUUUUAAGAUAAGACAAAUCGAAAUGAAGGCCAUGAAAUACAGAUAAGGAGAGAAAGUCCUUCGGGAUGGGCUUGUAAAAGCUCAUGCAAAGUACAUACAGUUGGGGAGUAGUAAUAAAAAGUGAUAGUUUGUAUUGGUUUCUAAUCAAAGGCUUAAUACACCAACCAUUCAUAAUGCUCAUAAACGUCUGUGUGCACUGUUAUACAGGCAUGCAGCUAUAGAUACAUAGAUGUGAAUGUACAUACACAUAAUUACAUGCAUAUUGUGCACAUACGCAUAUGCUUAUAUAUCCAACAAUGCUUAUUGAUGGAUGAAUAAGUGCACAUAUUAAGAUGCACAGAUACACAUACGUGUAAGCAAAACCAUGCACACAACUCUAGAUUCCACCCCAAAAUACACAGCUUGCCACCAAUGAAAAAGAACAAGGACUGCAAAAUUAUCUCAGGAAAAAAAGGAUGAAAGGAAGUGUCAGGGUGAGAGCAGCAGCAGUGUCACUUUAGGGAGCCAUCCCACUGCUUGCAAGCGUUCAGAAAUCACAGAGCACAUACCAGCACAUCUCCCAGCUCAGAAGCAGGCAGGGAAUGGCUCAAGACCGUGAUUUUGGGGCAAUUUGUGCCGAUUCCUGCUGCCCCACCAAGCAGGCAGCCCUGGGAGAUCGGCCUCAGCCAGAAGCAGGAAACAUGCAGGUAAGAACAGUCAAAAUAAUUGAAUAUAUACAUCCACAUGCACACAAGUUUCUGUAAACAGGCUUUGAAAGGGGGGAAAAAAAUCAUGACUUUAUUUUUUAUUACUUCUUCUCUUCAAACCUUAAAAAAAAAAAAAAGCCAAGUCAGUUCUUAUUUUAUCCAGACCAGUUCAUAAAUCCCAGGUCAUAAAUCCACAUGAUAUCCCGGGCUGCUGGAUUUUGCAUUUGGAGCUCUGAAAGACUGAUAGCUGAAAGAUUUAUAAGAUCCCAGGUAGUCGGUGUGCUCCCACCAGCCCCACUGCUGAGGGUCCGUGCACCCUAGGACACUGGGAAACGUGUAUGGGGACGUUGUACAGGGGCAGCUCUCCCCUGGAUCCUGGUCCUGGUUGGACUGAAUGUGUGCAGAAGGAUACAACCUGGUCCUCUGGGCUGGCCAGGGGCAUGUAGGGGCUUUUCCAUGCUGUGAGAUGAGGGCAUUGGGAGCAUGGAGCUUGCUGCCACCUCCUUCAGCUGUACUGAAAUUUUGUUCCUUGCAGUGUCAUUUAAUAGGAAUGAGUGCUCAGUAGGAGUGGAGCAUCACUGCUGGCAUUUCUGUAGGGCCAGAGGAUGCAUAGAGGGGAAUGGGACUGCCCCUCUGGCAAGAAAAUGGCAAAUGGAGAUAAUGUGGUUGCAGUAGGUGCAGCAAACAAUGCUGCCAGCAAAGCAGCACAUUUGCAUUCCCUAAAGAGCACUGAAGGUUAUUAUUAUUAUUUUCCUCUUUGUAG